rnacentral:rRNA from 1 species
CGGCGGACGGGUGAGUAACACGUUGAUAACCUACCUAUAAGACUGGGAUAACUUCGGGAAACCGGAGCUAAUACCGGAUAAUAUUUUGAACCGCAUGGUUCAAAAGUGAAAGACGGUCUUGCUGUCACUUAUAGAUGGAUCCGCGCUGCAUUAGCUAGUUGGUAAGGUAACGGCUUACCAAGGCAACGAUGCAUAGCCGACCUGAGAGGGUGAUCGGCCACACUGGAACUGAGACACGGUCCAG